AAUCUGCCCUUAGGUACGGAAUAACUCAGGGAAACUUGAGCUAAUACCGUAUAAUGACUCCGGUCCAAAGAUUUAUCGCCUAGGGAUGAGCCCGCGUAGGAUUAGCUUGUUGGUGAGGUAAAGGCUCACCAAGGCGACGAUCCUUAGCUGGUCUGAGAGGAUGAUCAGCCACACUGGGACUGAGACACGGCCCAGACUCCUACGGGAGGCAGCAGUGGGGAAUAUUGGACAAUGGGCGAAAGCCUGAUCCAGCAAUGCCGCGUGAGUGAUGAAGGCCUUAGGGUUGUAAAGCUCUUUUACCCGGGAUGAUAAUGACAGUACCGGGAGAAUAAGCCCCGGCUAACUCCGUGCCAGCAGCCGCGGUAAUACGGAGGGGGCUAGCGUUGUUCGGAAUUACUGGGCGUAAAGCGCACGUAGGCGGCUUUGUAAGUUAGAGGUGAAAGCCCGGGGCUCAACUCCGGAAUUGCCUUUAAGACUGCAUCGCUAGAAUUGUGGAGAGGUAAGUGGAAUUCCGAGUGUAGAGGUGAAAUUCGUAGAUAUUCGGAAGAACACCAGUGGCGAAGGCGACUUACUGGACACAUAUUGACGCUGAGGUGCGAAAGCGUGNGGAGCAAACAGGAUUAGAUACCCUGGUAGUCCACGCCNU
rnacentral:rRNA from 1 species